rnacentral:lncRNA from 1 species
CUUUAUGGCCUACUCUAACUUAUAUUGAUUUUACAAUAUUCUCAGCUUUAGUACAGAUUUCUUUCCAACAAAUGCUGCACUGCCUAAAAAGAGUCAGCAAUGGAGGCGUGGAGACCAUCGCUGCCUUGGUGAGGAAAACCUCAUGUUUCAGUGAAGAAAUUGACACCUGUCUAUAGCCAUUGUCAGGGUAGAAGGAAUUUAACCCCCAAGGUACCCACACAGUGGUAGGCCACCUCCAAAGAGAAAUGGAAUUAUUCCUUUGGGUUGUCCCUCUUUGGAGUGCUGUGAGAGUGCGCCAAGCUUCCCACCCCCUGCCUCGGAUUGCCCCUGGUCAGGGGGGUAGGGGGGUUCCCUCUGGAGGGGAGUGAGCUCCCUUGUGAGCCUCAGGGCUGUCUUAAGCACAUGCGGUGCCGGGGUGCAAAGAUCCCCCCCGGCUCCCCACCCCCCAGGUUGCCCAGCCCCAAGUGCACAGGAGAGCAGAGCCGGCCGCCCACCUCAGCAUCUCACCGGCUUGGUUGCCCCCAGACUUGUGGCGCAGAGCCACCCACAGCAGAAGAGCCCGCCGUGGCGCUCCAACCGAUGGGUGGGUUCUUCCUCAGACUCAACUUUCGGGCCCCGGACUCUUGGCUUGGCACCCCUGAGAGCCUGGCGCCCGGGUGCCUUGCAUCCCUAGCACCUAUGGGUAAGACAGCCCUACAGUGAGAGGGCAGCCAUAAAUGGUUCGCUGGUAGCGGAGCAGGUUAUCUCAUUCACCGGAACUGUAGUAAGUGUAAGCCAUGUUUUGCGCUUUUCUGUUCUUGUUCUGAUGCUACGGUUAAAUACAUGCAUACACAUUUUGAGUGUAUAACUCUUCCCGGACUGUGGUUUGUUUAUUAAUGUGGCAACCUGAAUGCUCUUCUUGUUUUCUUCUUAUUGGGUUGAGUAGGCUGGCCAAGUACGUUUCUGAAAGGCAUAAAAGGCUAGAACUGGGUAGGGCGCUUCCAUUCAGACCAGAAUGGACACAGGCAGGCAUGGUAGUGAAGACUAGGCAUGCCAUUAUGGGGAAAGAAUAACUGGUCAUUUCUGCACCAUUCCUUUUCUGGUCCUCUCUCCAGGGAGCCUAGACGGCACGUUGGCAAUCCCUUGGCAGAGGUGUCGAUACUAUGUGGAAUGGGCCCUCACAAAAGAGAACACAUGCAUGCAAUUUGCAUAUGCUUUGUAUCAUUUGUAAAAUUUGUGUUCCCUUUUGCAGGUUGAGUGGAGGACGUAAAAAUAAACCCCGUAUUAAAAAGCAUGACAGACAGAACAGGAACAGAUGAAAUUUUCCCCAUAAUUGUAUUUUCAUACUAGAAAAGGCUUACCCUAUUGAAUUUUUGCCUUUGACACAGCUGUUAAAGGCACAAAAAACUUGGCUGUCCCCCAUGCCAACUCUAAACCAAAGCCUAGGCUGUAUCAACUUACUGGGAGUAAGUCCCAUUAAAAGCAAAGAGACUUAAUUCUGAGUAGACAUUUAUACCGUUGUACCUUAGUUAACUAUACAGUGGUACCUCGGGUUACAUACGCUUCAGGUUACAGACUCCGCUAACCUAGUAAUAUUACCUCGGGUAAUUGCUUCAGGAUGAGAACAGAAAUUGUGCUCCGGGGGUUCGGCGGCAGCAGGAGGCCCCAUUAGCUAAAGUGGUGCUUCAGGUUAAGAACAGUCUCAGGUUAAGAAUGGACCUCCAGAAUGAAUUAAGUACUUAACCCGAGGUACCACUGUACAGUGAAUUAUUAAUGGAUGCUUGGUAUUUAGCUCCUGCACAGCGAAAGACAUGCCUAAGUCUAUUUGCAAAGAUUUCACACUUGCCAAUUGAGGGAACGGGAUUCCCUCUCUGCACUUAAUGUGUUGCAGAAAAUACCACCUAGGUACCUGAUUUCAGCCAAACCUACCACAUGAAAGAUGAAAAUAGGGAAGGGAAACUAUAGAGUUUUCAAGAACUAGAAAAUGAGACAGAAGCAGGAAAAUUGCAUUAAAAAGGGAGGGAUAAACAGUAACUCAUUAGGAUUACAUUAGGCUUUAAAUUUCAAGGCAAAGUGGCAUGGAAGAGUAUGUUUAAACCUCUUCCCUGUUGGCCAGUUCAUACCAUAAUUCUUCCCAACCAGGCUUUUUGCAUGGAGGGAAAAAUAUGGCCAUCUGUAUCUCUUUUCAGUUGAAAGAAAAAUUGAUCAGCAGGCAAAGUGUUAAGUUGCAUUUUUUUCCUCCUCUCCCCUCCCAAGUUUGUUUGCAGAAAUUGCCAGCUUCAAAGUGCGGUGACAAAAAGAAAAAAGCUAAGAUAAAAGGUACAUAUAGGUAAGUGUAACAUGUUGUUUGUCCCUGAACCUCACCCCAGGUUCAUUUUCUACUCCAAAGCCUUUCAACUGCAGAUUGGAUUUGGUACUAGGGGAAAAUAUAUGCUCUCUCAUGCGCAUCUUACAAUUGUGGCCGCAUGUGAUGAGUUACAAGGAAGAUAAUUUGUGAGGAGUAACUAUGAUGAGAAUGCUCACCCACCUUCCUAAUUCUACUACUUUCCUAAACUAAGGAAAUGAGUGUGGAGACGGCUGAUAAAGAGUCAAGUUAAUCAGUUUUGGGUCAGCCACUCUUCAUUUAAUCUGCAUUGUGCUUUGUGUGCCAGUUGCAGAAAGGCAGGACAGAAAGGAGAGUUUUGCAGACAGAGCAUUAUGCAUGCCAGGGAACUGUGCUCAGUUUUGAUAAUCACCAGAGCUAGAAAUACAGAAGUACGGCCCUCAGGAAGUGGAACUAUUGAACGAAGCUUCCAACAGGGCUAUGGGCAGACAUGGCAUUUGCCAGUGGCUCAGUGCCAGAUUUACAUAUAAGCUAAACAAGCUAUAGCUUUGGGCCCCACUCUCUUGGAGGCCCCCCCAAAAAAUUAAAGGAAAAAAACCUGGAUGUACAUUUCCAAAACAUAAGAUAAAAAAAAAAUGAAAUAAAACCUACAGACAGCAACAGUGUUCUGUUCUGUGUAGGUGCCUAUGAUGUACCGUAUUUUUCGCUCUAUAGGACGCACUUUUUCCCCUCCAAAGAUGAAGGGGAAAUGUGUGUGCAUCCUAUGGAGUGAAUGCAGGCUUUUGCUGAAGCCUGGAGAGAGAGAGGGGUCGGUGCGCACCGACCCCUCUUGCUCUCCAGGCUUCAGGCAGCUAUCCGCAAGCCUUCAGAGCCCGGUGGGAGUUCCCACCGAGCUCAGAAGGCUUGCGGAUAGCAGCAAGCUCCGGGAGCGAAGGCGAGGUUGUGUGCAACCUUGCCCCCGCUCCCGGACCCGUUCUGGGGGCUGGGGUCGGGGGAAGCUCGGGCUUCUUUAUUCCCCCCCCCUAAAAACUAGGUGCGCCCUAUGGUCCGGUGCGCCUUAUGGAGCGAAAAAUAUGGUAAGUAAUGGGCCGUGCCUGCUCCCUAAAAUAUCACUGGUUUGCUCAUUUCUAUAUAUAGGGUGCCUACAUUCUGCAUGGACUGGUUGCAUGGCAACCUGUGCAAAUGGCUUUAGAUACCCAUGAGGUCCAUAAAUUACCAUAUAUCAUAUAUUCAACACGAAAAACAGCAGCAAUUUGUUGUUGACAAAGGACAUAUAAAGGGCCCCAUUAUAGCUUAGGGCCUCAUCAAACCUAAAUCCGGCCCUGAGGUGGCUUAUAGUUUUACAAAAUUCUAAAGGGCUGAUAGCAUAGGCAGAAGCAGCUGGAGUGCUGUUUAAGACAUUGCCUUCAGUUGCCUCUUCCUAGUAAUCAGAGGGUAUAGUUGCUAACAUCACAGAUGCAGUUUUAUAAAUACUUUCAGGAAUCUGGCACCUCGGACUCAUGAUCAUGAAGACUUUAAACCACAUCACAUCAGGAACGCCCCGUGAAGUAUGCUUUUAGAUUCAAGCAUGUGCACACAUACUCAGAUUUUCUUUAUGGAUUAGAUUAUAAAUCCAUAUUUCAUCUGCUGCUUGUGGGCUAUGUUCUGUUAAGCUUGCAGCUGGAAGCUGAUCCUACAGUUCACA